UUAUGCUCUACUUCCUUGCGUAGCGUAUCCCACAUCGGUCAGAGAGGGGUCUUGUCAAGGGUUUAUAAGGCACCGGGAGGCAACCCAUAUCGUCCCUUCGGGGACAUCCGAUAAAAUUGGAACGAUACAGAGAAGAUUAGCAUGGCCCCUGCGCAAGGAUGACACGCACAAAUCGAGAAAUGGUCCAAAUUGUUUUUCUUCUCCUUCGAUCCGAUCUCAUUCAUGCGCAGUUGCUACAGAUACAUAGGUGCAACAUCUAGGAUUGGCUUUUCAUGAAUAAUAGUUUUGAAGUUAUCCUUUUUGCCAAGAUGAAGCAAUGCUGCGGAAACAAAAAUUGCACAACAUGCUGUUGGUUUAACAGAAUCCUUGGGAGUUUCAGAGUGUCUGCAAAUGACUGAAUGGUGCCAUAGUGUGUCUGGGAUCAAGCAUGCCAAGGACCCCUGUUUCAUGAAUGCAGCCAAGCAAUCCUACGGUUUAUAAGCUGAUCUAUACGUGUCAAUCUAUGACCUUGCGCUUCAGUAUCAUAGGAAAAAUAAAUAAUGAUAAGUGUGCACAUUGUGUUCCUGAUAUCGUGAUUAUAACCUGCGGUGAUGUUACAAGUAUCUUCACUGGAUGUGACGAUGUGCGGAUCAAGUAACGUUGCUCAUCCUUCCUCUGCGCAUAUGAUCAAACAAGCUAAAAGGCAUGAUGGAGCCCAUGAGCUCGUACUCAAAACCUUUAAAGCAUUAGCCUGGCACAUUCUUUUUCAAAUUAGUUCCAUUUGCUCAAAUUCUUACGCCAGUAGUCUAAUCUACGUUCUAGUAAGGGUUGCAUCAUGUGGCUAGAUCCACAACUGCCCAAUUUCAUUAAUCAUUAUGAACGUUGAAAACAAAACACCGCUCAAGCGGCUCCAAGUUAUCUUGCUUUGGCACGUUUAUGUGAAUAGGGGAGAGAACAAAAGUUUGACUUAAUGUCUCCCUUUUUGUGUAGAAAGUAUUUCAAUUCUA